GACGAACGCUGGCGGCGUGCCUAAUACAUGCAAGUUGAGCGCUGAAGGUUGGUACUUGUACCAACUGGAUGAGCAGCGAACGGGUGAGUAACGCGUGGGGAAUCUGCCUUUGAGCGGGGGACAACAUUUGGAAACGAAUGCUAAUACCGCAUAAAAACUUUAAACACAAGUUUUAAGUUUGAAAGAUGCAAUUGCAUCACUCAAAGAUGAUCCCGCGUUGUAUUAGCUAGUUGGUGAGGUAGAGGCUCACCAAGGCGAUGAUACAUAGCCGACCUGAGAGGGUGAUCGGCCACCAUGGGAAUGAGACAACGCCCCAGACCCUACCGGAAGCAGAAGUAGGGGAUCUUCGGCAAUAGACGAAAGUCUGACCGCGCAACGCCGCGUGAGUGAAGAAGGUUGUCGGAUUGUAAAACUCUGUUGGUAGAGAAGAACGAUGGUGAGAGUGGAAAGCUCAUCAAGUGACGGUACCUACCCAGAAAGCAACGGCUAACUACGUG
rnacentral:rRNA from 1 species